rnacentral:rRNA from 1 species
GACAGAGGGUGCAAACGUUGUUCGGAAUUACUGGGCGUAAAGCGCGUGUAGGCUGCUCAGAAAGUCGGAUGUGAAAGCCCUGGGCUCAACCUAGGAAGUGCACUCGAAACUGCGGAGCUUGAGUCUCGGAGAGGAUCGCGGAAUUCUCGGUGUAGAGGUGAAAUUCGUAGAUAUCGAGAGGAACACCGGUGGCAAAGGCGGCGAUCUGGACGAUGACUGACGCUGAGACGCGAAAGCGUGGGGAGCAAACAGG